GCGGGCGUAGGAAAUUUGAGAGGAUCUGCUCCUAGUACGAGAGGACCAGAGUGGACUUACCGCUGGUGUACCAGUUGUUUUGCCAAAGGCAUCGCUGGGUAGCUAUGUAGGGAAGGGAUAAGCGCUGAAAGCAUCUAAGUGCGAAGCCCCCCUCAAGAUGAGAUUUCCCAUGAUUUUAUAUCAGUAAGAGCCCUGAGAGAUGAUCAGGUAGAUAGGUUAGGAGUGUAAGUGUAGCGAUACAUGUAGCGGACUAAUACUAAUAGCUCGAGGACUUAUCCAAAA
rnacentral:rRNA from 1 species